GUUAAGAUGCUUAUGUACAAACUCGGGAGCAUGAAACAGCUUAGUGCAACCCUUGGCUCCACAGCCAUAUUUCCAUCCAUAUUUUUCAUCUCUUAUCUUGCGAACAUAUGGAUCAAAAGCUUCAAGAGCAGCAGCCUCUAUUUUAUCUUUGGCAGUCAUCACUUCCAACAGAUCCUGACCUCUCAAUCUCUCUUGCCAACGUAAGUCAAGUUUCUUCUCCCACUCAUCCGCACCACCAGCUAUGUUAGAAUUCUUCCCCUCUUCUCUUACAUGACGAAGACCCUUAGCUUCUCUUGUCUCGACCAUUCCAUAGUAAUCUAGACCAUGGAUACGCCACAGAUAUGUGAGAAGUGUGUCCAAUAGCUCAACACCCUCCAAGCCUUUGACAGUUGUCAGCCCCCGUAUGAUUAUGAC
rnacentral:misc_RNA from 1 species